rnacentral:rRNA from 1 species
GAUGAACGCUAGCGGCAGGCCUAAUACAUGCAAGUCGAACGGUAACAUGAGUAGCAAUACUUGAUGACGAGUGGCGCACGGGUGCGUAACGCGUAUGCAAUCUACCUUUAACCGGUGAAUAGCCCGAAGAAAUUCGGAUUAAUACACCAUAGUAUGUUUGAGUGGCAUCACUUAAACAUUAAAACUCCGGUGGUUAAAGAUGAGCAUGCGUGACAUUAGCUAGUUGGUGAGGUAAUGGCUCACCAAGGCUACGAUGCCUAGGGGAUCUGAGAGGAUUAACCCCCACACUGGUACUGAGACACGGACCAGACUCCUACGGGAGGCAGCAGUAAGGAAUAUUGGACAAUGGUCGCAAGACUGAUCCAGCCAU